UGUUCUUGAAAAUGGAGGAAAUUUCAACUAUGGAGAAGAAGUGAAAAUGGGGAAUGACGAUUAGUUAAUGGGUGUUCUUGAAAAUGGAGGAAAUUUCAACUACGGAGAAGAAGUGAAAAUGGGGAAUGACGAUUAGUUAAUGGAUGUUCUUGAAAAUGGAGGAAAUUUCAACUACGGAGAAGAAGUGAAAAUGGGGAAUGACGAGGAAGAAGGAAAGAGGGGUUGAAGUAGAGAGUGAUUAGACAUUAAUGAUGGCCUUUAAUUUUUGUGUUGGGAAGGGGAAUUGGAGGAGUAGUGAUGGUACAAAAGGUGUGAAGAAGAAAGGGGGAAG
rnacentral:lncRNA from 1 species